AGUCGGGACCUAAGCUGAGGCCGAACGGCGUAGGCGAUGGUCAACAGGUUGAUAUUCCUGUACCAGUUUCUUUUGUUUGACCGAUGGAGGGACGCAGCAGGCUAAGAUAUGCCCACUGAUGGAUGUGGGUGCAAAUAACAAGUCUGGCGAUGAGUCAAAUGCUUAUCGCUAAGGACAAGUUAUGACGCGGAGGGAAGUACAGUACCGAAGUAUCUGACGUCACACUGCCAAGAAAAGCUUCUAGGGAGAAAGCAACUGCCCGUACCGCAAACCGACACAGGUAGUCGAGAUGAGAAUUCUAAGGUGAGCGAGCGAACUCUCGUUAAGGAACUCGGC
rnacentral:rRNA from 1 species